AUCUUUUUUGAAACCCAGAGGUUCGUCAUCAUAAAUGGCGUCAAGCUUCUGGUGUUGCCAUUCGCCCAUUUGGUUGUUAUCAUAAUCUUCUGCAACGUCUCUUUGGGGACAUUGUUCGUUGGAAUUUUCUUUGUUGGCUUCGACAGCCAUAUAUUUUACUUCAGCCUCGAGGGCCUCUUUGAGUUUGUUUUCGGCUAUGUAAGCCGUAAUUCUUUCGAGCGCU
rnacentral:lncRNA from 1 species